GACGUAGGGCGCGAGCGUUGUCCGGAUUUAUUGGGCGUAAAGAGCUCGUAGGCGGCUUGUCGCGUCGGCUGUGAAAACCCGGGGCUCAACCCCGGGCCUGCAGCCGAUACGGGCAGACUAGAGUUCGGCAGGGGAGACUGGAAUUCCUGGUGUAGCGGUGAAAUGCGCAGAUAUCAGGAGGAACACCGGUGGCGAAGGCAGCUCGCUGGGACGGUACUGACGCUGAGGCGCGAAAGCGUGGGGAGCAAACAGG
rnacentral:rRNA from 1 species